AGCCCUAAGAGUUUUUAUUUAGGGUAAAGCCUGCCCAAUGAGAUUUUUGAAUGGCCGCGGUACACUGACCGUGCUAAGGUAGCAUAAUCAAUUGGCUUCUAAUUAAAGUCUGGAAUGAAAGGAAUAACGGAGUUUAGCUAUAUCAUUACUACUAAACUGAAGUUACUAAUCUAGUGAAAAGGCUAGAAAAUUAUAAAAGACGAGAAGACCCUUAGAGUUUAAAUUUUAUUUCGUUGGGGCGACGAGAGAUCAUAAAGCAUCUCGAUUUCAUAUGACGGUAAUUUCAUGAAUAGAUAAACUACCUGAGGGAUAACAGCAAAAUCUUUUUAGGUUUUUGACCUCGAUGUUGGACUAGGAAAACUUGUGGCUAGCCGCUAUAAGUAUUAAAUUCUGUUCRAAUUAUUUUCUCCUACAU
rnacentral:rRNA from 1 species